CUCAGUAGCUCGUUUCUCUGCGUUACCAAGCCGGUCUAGUUUGUUUCUUUCUCGUGAUCCUCGACCCUUGUUUUCUGUCUCGACUACGCUUUCUGCCUAUCCCCGUUUGUAUUGUUCGCCCGAUCGCUUGACCCUUGUUUACCCUACGACUACGUUUCUGGAACUUCCCGAUUCUACGCUCUACCCCCGCCGCCCGCUCCUGCUUCCGUGCCGUUUCGAGGGAAGGAGUCUCCAGUGUCAGAAGUAAAGUGAUGGAACCAGACCGAGCUGGCUGUCCCUUUAUAAUGCAAUAAAUUACUUACAAUGUUCUAACAUCUUUAGGCAACAGGUUACUCCUCCAGAACUCAACAAGAAUCAUGUGAGCUUUUAACCAGUUUCAGAAAACCACUGGUGUGACUUACACAUUAUUAUUAUUAUUAUUAUUAUUAUU
ensembl:lncRNA